GGAUGCGAUCAUAGCAGCACUAAAGCACCGGAUCCCAUCAGAACUCCGAAGUUAAGCGUGCUUGGGUGAGAGUAGUACUAGGAUGGGUGACCUCUUGGGAAGUCCUCGUGUUGCAUUCC
rnacentral:rRNA from 2 species